rnacentral:rRNA from 1 species
GACGAACGCUGGCGGCGUGCUUAACACAUGCAAGUCGAACGGAAAGGCCCUGCUUUUGUGGGGUGCUCGAGUGGCGAACGGGUGAGUAACACGUGAGUAACCUGCCCUUGACUUUGGGAUAACUUCAGGAAACUGGGGCUAAUACCGGAUAGGAGCUCCUGCUGCAUGGUGGGGGUUGGAAAGUUUCGGCGGUUGGGGACGGACUCGCGGCUUUCAGCUUGUUGGUGGGGUAGUGGCUUACCAAGGCUUUGACGGGUAGCCGGCCUGAGAGGGUGACCGGCCACAUUGGGACUGAGAUACGGCCCAGACUCCUACGGGAGGCAGCAGUGGGGAAUAUUGCACAAUGGGCGGAAGCCUGAUGCAGCAACGCCGCGUGCGGGAUGACGGCCUUCGGGUUGUAAACCGCUUUCGCCUGUGACGAAGCGUGAGUGACGGUAAUGGGUAAAGAAGCACCGGCUAACUACGUG